rnacentral:rRNA from 1 species
AACGAACGCUGGCGGCAGGCCUAACACAUGCAAGUCGAGCGAGGACUUCGGUCCUAGCGGCGGACGGGUGAGUAACGCGUGGGAACGUGCCCUUUGCUUCGGAAUAGCCCUGGGAAACUGGGAGUAAUACCGGAUGAGCCCUUUGGGGGAAAGAUUUAUCGGCGAAGGAUCGGCCCGCGUUGGAUUAGGUAGUUGGUGGGGUAAUGGCCUACCAAGCCGACGAUCCAUAGCUGGUUUGAGAGGAUGAUUAGCCACACUGGGACUGAGACACGGCCCAGACUCCUACGGGAGGCAGCAGUGGGGAAUCUUAGACAAUGGGGGAAACCCUGAUCUAGCCAUGCCGCGUGAGCGAUGAAGGCCUUAGGGUUGUAAAGCUCUUUCAGCUGGGAAGAUAAUGACGGUACCAGCAGAAGAAGCCCCGGCUAACUCCGUG